AUUUAAAGUUAUAGUUGUGGUGGUUGUUGACUUUUUUCAAAUGCAUUUAAUUGUACUUUUUUGGUUUUGCCCUGCCUGGAUGAGUCUUAUGGGGCAGAGGCAUACCUAGGGUCUCUAGCGCCCCUUGCAAGAAGCUGUAUAGGCCCCCCUAUCAAUUUCAAUCUUUUUUUAUUUUCUGCAUUUCCAUAGUGAGCAUGGUACUCGUAUUUUAGCAUAGUACUCAAAUGUGAU